rnacentral:lncRNA from 1 species
UGGCUAGAUGUUCUAACUCGUCACAUCGAUAAUAUCUGAUCUUGCUCAAGUCCCUUGUUCAAAACUUAGACCGUCCUUGUUGCGAUCUUCUGUCGCUCCAUCUACCACCUCCUACUCCUUCAGAAACCACCAAAGCUGAGCUGCCGCCUCUUAAGCUCGAAGCUGGGUUCUUCUUCUUGAGAACUUCAUUCUGGAGAAUCAUCGUAGUGACCCCCGUCCAUCUUGAUGGUGCUCUUCUCUACUAGAAGAGCAGUCAUCAAAGACUCAUACGAAAGGAAAAGCGAUGCUAGCAAGACCAGUGCCCUAGUCUUCUCCUCAACUUUCUUGUCAAUUCUGAGA